rnacentral:rRNA from 1 species
GACGUAGGAUGCGAGCGUUGUCCGGAUUUAUUGGGCGUAAAGAGUUCGUAGGCAGUUUGUUAAGUCUGGUGUUAAAGAUCGGGGCUCAACCCUGGGACUGCAUUGGAUACUGGCAGACUGGAGUGCAGUAGAGGCGAGUGGAAUUCCCAGUGUAGCGGUGAAAUGCGUAGAUAUUGGGAAGAACACCGGUGGCGCAGGCGACUCGCUGGGCUGUAACUGACGCUGAGGAACGAAAGCCAGGGGAGCAAAUGGG